ensembl:lncRNA
UUUUUUUUUUUUUUUUUUUUUUGCUGGGUGCCUCUUCACUGAGGGAGCUGUUAGAACUGAAGUGGGGCAAGUCAACCCAGCACCACCACCAUGUUCUCCACUAAAACACAUCCACACAGCUGCUGAACACUUCCAGGAGUGGUGACUCCACCGCUGCCCUGGGCAGCCUGUGCCAACUCUUUGCAACCCUUCCCAUGAAGAAACAUUCCCUUAUAUCCAGACUAAACCUCCCCUGGCACAGCCUGAGGCCAUUCUCACUUGUCCUGUCUCUUGUAAACUGACUCCCACCUGGCUGCUCCCUCCUGUCAGGGAUUUGUAGAACCCUCAGCUCCCACCAACCUUUAAAAAACCUCUUGUUACAACCCUCAGCAAUUUAUUUCCAUUCUGCCUGGGUGCUUUGCAGAGGAACCCUGGAGAAUGGCAGAAAACAACAGUUAAAAGAAUAGAGUGGAAUUAUCCAUCUCCUGCUCAUUAAUUGACUUCAGAUGGUACCAGCUUGCUGGUGUUUUUUCUGCAUCUCUGGCAGGGAAUGUUUUAUUUGCUUAGUAAAGUUUUCACAUGCAAUAUGUUGUUGCUGUUUUGUUUUGUUUCUGAAAUCCCUUACCUAUAUAUUUAUUACAGACAGAUAUUAUACCCUGGCAGUAAAGAAACACUGCAAAGUGCUAGUUAACUUCUCAGAGCUGCCUGAAUAAUUCCAUAAAUACGAGGGGACUGAAAUGACAACAAUAAAGGGAUCUAUACUUUGAACAAUAAAUAUGAACUGGAGCUCUGCUUUGGAUUUGAGGCAGGCUGCAACUAAUAGGUAUUCAGCUUGUGUGGGCCACUGACAUUUAAAUAAACACAUGUGCAGUCCAAGGGGGUUGGCUGCAGAGCCUCUUGUCAAUUGAAUCCAGCCCUGGGAACACUCAGAGAGUGGCUCAGGAUUGCAGGAAUUCCUGGGCUGUAGCCCUCGGUGGGAUCUCUCCUGAAACCAAAAGAUGUCCUCCAUGGGGGGGAAAGAAAAAAAAGAGGUGGGGGGGACACAAAGGGAAUGAGGGGGGUGGUGGAAACCACCCCAAAAUAUGUGGCUUCAAAGAAAUGCUGAAAAUAUUUAUAAGAAAAAUGCCUGGCAGGCUGCCCAUUGCAACUGAAGGAGAACUUGGCUCCUCAAGCUGAGAUAGCUCAGCAUUCCUACACUGCCUUGGGAAAAAAUCACCUCUAAACAGGGCCAGUCUAUUCGAAUGUGCAGAUCCAGGCCAGAGUGUACUCAGAAAACCCAUUCCUAAUGGGAGAGGAGCAGGCUCCCAGGCUGCAGCAGGAAGGAUCCUGGGGCAGCACCUUUGUGCAGCUCCUGGAACCUGCAAAGGCAGCUUUGGUUGCAGUGGCAUCAGGUUUUCUGCAAAGGUAGCCCUAAAAAUCAAAAAUUGUUCGGCAGCAUCAGACAGACAGAGAGGGACAGGGCUACAUGGUGCUCACCCUCAGCACCUCACACUGAAAACUGGCAGGCCAUGAAGUGUCUCCAGCACUUGUUUUGUGUGAUUCUCACAAACCUGAAGUAUUCACAGUCAAAUAGUCUCCCUCAGUAUUGCAGAAAGCAUCACUUCACAUCCAGGUGUCACCUUUUCCAUCACCAGGGCAAAUGAAGGAUGACUCAGGAAAAAGGAGACAUCAGCUCUGGGGCUGUCAGCCUCAGAAUGAAGGAAAUGGCUAGUUUAAAAAAUAAAAUUUAAAAAAAAAAACAACAAUAAACCAAAUUUUUUAAAAUCCAAAGAGGAAUUAACUGAGCAACAUAUCACUGAGUUUAACACCGAGCAAAUCAGUAGAGGCUGUGUAACAACAUUACAGAUAAUUAGAAAACUGGGAUGGAAGGAAACCAUUCUUUUGGAAGCUGGAAUUGUGGUUCCUGGGGAAUCCUUUGUGGCCAUCAAUGCAUACAGAAUAGGGGCAAUUUACUUGGUACCGGGUACUCUGGUUCCUCAAAAGCUUCCUCACCAGGGGCGCCUUGGAAAUUAAUCUCCCUUGGGAUUAGAAGAAAAGUUCUCCAGGGGCGCCUUGGAAAUUAAUCUCUCUUAGGGUUAGAAGAAAAGUUCUCAAUUGAAUUCCAAACUGGUAGGAAACAGGAAGGGCCAGGUAGGAAUAAAACAGUUAUUUUUCACAGCAGAGGGAAUCCCAGGGGAAUCCCCAAGCAAUUGGGCUGUGGCAUGUGU